rnacentral:lncRNA from 10 species
GAAAGUGCAAGCCCAGAAGACACUAGAGCUUCCUUAGGCUCCCAAAUAGUGCAGGGACCAUGAGGAUCGCUCUAAAUGCUGAUUCUUCAGGAGAAGUCUGAUCAAACAGGGUACUCCAAUGUAUACCACGACAUGAAAAGGCUUGUAUGACCGUGACUCCUGGAAUUUCAAAGUCUUCAGUCACAGAAAUGAAGUUCACUGUUGCAGACUGUACAUCUGAAGACUGAUCCUGGGUCAGACACCACCUGCCUAACUGAACAUUGGCAAGGCAGUGUGAGCUGAAAUGAAACCAAACCAAUCACUACUGAAGAAGAAAUGCAACUGACUCCAGCCUUAGUCUUCCUGCCAUGUCAAGACAUAGCAAGAAGGUAGCAGUCUGCAAGCCAGGAAGAAAGCCUUCACCAGAACCCAAUCAUGCUGCACUCUGAUCUCAGAUUUCUACUCUCCAGAAUUGUGAGAAAAUAAAUUUCUGUUGUUUAAACCACC